rnacentral:rRNA from 1 species
GACGAACUCUGGCGGCGUGCUUAACACAUGCAAGUCGACUGCUGAAGACCUGUCUUUUGUUGGGUUGGUUGAGUGGCGCACGGGUGAGUAACACGUGAGUAACCUGCCCUCUUUUUUGGGAUAUAGCUCCGUAACGGUUUCUCAUACUGGAUAUUUACUGAUCUUCUCAUGGGGGUUGGUGGGAAGCUUUGUUAUUGUGGGGGAUGGGCUCGCGGCCUAUCAGCUUGUUGGUGGUGUGAUGGCCUACCAAGGCUUUGACGGGUAGCCGGCCUGCGCGGGUGGCCGGACGCAUUGGGACGGAGAUACGGCCCAGACACGAACGGGAGGAAGCAGUGGGGAAUAUUGCACAAUGGGCGAAUGCCUGAUGCAGCGACGCCGCGUGAGGGAGGGAGGCCUUCGGGUUGUAGACCUCUAACGCUCAUGGUCAAGCCGCAACUGUGGGUUGUGGUGAGGGUAGUGGGUAAAGAAGCGCCGGCUAACUACGUG